CGGAGAUGAUUUCACGUCUGGCCAGGGCCACGUCCUCUUUGCGGCCGGUGAUGAGGAAGACUGGUUCUUCGCCUCUGACGGGGGUCUUGAUGUCAAAAGGUCACGCAUGUGCUGAAUCUGCAGCAGAACUCAUUCACAAAGUUUUUCAUGUUCUGCAUCUCUCGAGUGUAAUUUAUUGACACAUUUGGGAUAAUUUGAUUGUGUUUUCAGGUCUCAUUAAAGGUAUAGUUAACGCAAUAUAUCAUUGACUGUGUUUUAUAAUUUUACCAUGCUCUAAUAUACAAAAGUCAGUCUGGGCCUGCCCUCGCUUUUUCGAUUGUAACCAUUAUAACAAAUACACGUUUUUGUUUUUUUUUCUCAUGAUAAAAAUUAGCAUUGGCUUUACUUUUUUUUUUGUAAACAAUAUAUUAAAAUGAAACGAUUUAGAGAUUAGCAUUGUCUUAUCUAUUGUAUAUACAAAAGUACAAUUAGGAUUGUCUUGCAAUUUGUUGUAUUUGAUUAAACCCACUGAAGCUUAUUCAUAAACCGAAUCAAACCUGCGUUAAUCUUUUUUUCUUUGUCGUUUCUAACUAUUGAUUAUACAACGUGCACUGAAAUUUCUUCAGCUCGUGUUUAAUGAAUGAGGCCCAAAGUGAAUUUAGAAAUGGCUGCUCACUCUUCUCUGUUGUGGUAAUCGUACAAAUCGAUUAAAACAAUGGCUUUGUUUAUUUUUUUUGCUGCAUUACACAGUCGCGGUAAUAUUUUUGCUGUUUAUUCGUAAUAUAGAAAGAAAUGUGUUGGCUGAGAAGUAUUUACCAUAAUAAAUCCUAUUUACCUUAUAAAAAAAUCCAGUCUGCAUUGACGUAUCCUAAUAAAAUUCAAACAACAAAAGCUCCUAAAAAUCCCUGUUGUCUGAAUGACGUCUCCCCUGCAAGAGUGCCAUGUGCUAACAGACAGUCGCAGGUACUAUGAUAUUCAGCACUGAAACAAAUGUGUUUUUAGAUGUAAAUUCCCCAAUUAAUACCCCAUAAAGUUAUUGUUGGCAUCUGAAUUCAUAGCAAGGUGUGGUGCUCCUCCACAGCAUCUGCCUCGUGUGCAGCACCAAAGUAUUUAUUAGCACCUCAGUGGUGUCUUAUCAAGAGUGGGGUGGCUUUCUCCGCCCAGGGGCCUGUUCAGUGGAUAGAUCUCUGCACACUGGUUUCAUGCCUCAUUGUGUAGAGCAGAAGCUAAAAAAAUAACCUGGAUGGACUGUCUAGCACUGACAGCGGGGAGCACAGAUUCCCAUCGUCCCCCUCGCUGCAGGAGCACAUCUCCUAACAGGCAUGGCAGCCACUGCAGGUGAACAAAGCACUGGAACCUCACAGCUCAAAUUCCCAACUAAUGGCGAUAACAAAGAUACAUAAGUGUGCUGCUUUUUUCGCCAUCACUCUCGCUUGUUAUUAUCAGGCCAAAU